rnacentral:rRNA from 1 species
GUGGGGAAUAUUGUACAAUGGGGGCAACCCUGAUCCAGCCAUGCCGCGUGAAUGAUGAAGGCCUUCGGGUCGUAAAGUUCUUUUGGAGGGGACGAUGAUGACGGUACCCUCAGAAUAAGCUCCGGCUAACUUCGUGCCAGCAGCCGCGGUAAUACGAAGGGAGCUAGCGUUGUUCGGAAUUACUGGGCGUAAAGGGCGCGUAGGCGGUUUGGUUAGUCAGAUGUGAAAGCCCAGGGCUUAACCCUGGAACUGCGCUUGAUACUGCCAAGCUUGAAUUCGGGAGAGGUGAGUGGAAUUCCCAGUGUAGAGGUGAAAUUCGUAGAUAUUGGGAAGAACACCGGUGGCGAAGGCGGCUCACUGGACCGACAUUGACGCUGAGGCGCGAAAGCGUGGGGAGCAAACAGGAUUAGAAACCCUGGUAGUCC